rnacentral:rRNA from 2 species
GCUCAGGACGAACGCUGGCGGCGUGCCUAAUACAUGCAAGUCGAACGAACUCUGGUAUUGAUUGGUGCUUGCAUCAUGAUUUACAUUUGAGUGAGUGGCGAACUGGUGAGUAACACGUGGGAAACCUGCCCAGAAGCGGGGGAUAACACCUGGAAACAGAUGCUAAUACCGCAUAACAACUUGGACCGCAUGGUCCGAGUUUGAAAGAUGGCUUCGGCUAUCACUUUUGGAUGGUCCCGCGGCGUAUUAGCUAGAUGGUGAGGUAACGGCUCACCAUGGCAAUGAUACGUAGCCGACCUGAGAGGGUAAUCGGCCACAUUGGGACUGAGACACGGCCCAAACUCCUACGGGAGGCAGCAGUAGGGAAUCUUCCACAAUGGACGAAAGUCUGAUGGAGCAACGCCGCGUGAGUGAAGAAGGGUUUCGGCUCGUAAAACUCUGUUGUUAAAGAAGAACAUAUCUGAGAGUAACUGUUCAGGUAUUGACGGUAUUUAACCAGAAAGCCACGGCUAACUACGUGCCAGCAGCCGCGGUAAUACGUAGGUGGCAAGCGUUGUCCGGAUUUAUUGGGCGUAAAGCGAGCGCAGGCGGUUUUUUAAGUCUGAUGUGAAAGCCUUCGGCUCAACCGAUAGAAGUGCAUCGG